CCCGUAUCGAAAACCGCGCUACAACACGGUGCCGUGUUCGCUGAUUUGCUGUAUAUGAGGGAAAUUUGGUAGAACAGGCAAGAUGAAAAUUAACAUGAAAUUACUGCCUAUGAAGGCACAUUACUUUUUAAUGUUUGCAGGCACUGCACCUGUGCUUCCAUUCCUGCCAGUAUAUGCACGACAACAGGGUAUUUCCCCU